GCAGGUUCGGGUCGAACGCAGUGAGACAACGGAGCCGUGUACGGCGACGGCCCGAAGGGCGAGCGAAGCGAGUCAUCCUGCACGACCCACCA
rnacentral:sRNA from 1 species